rfam:Dipodomys ordii contig_48336, whole genome shotgun sequence.
GGGAAGGUAGCUCAGCGCUAGAGUGCAUGCCUUGCAAGCAUGAGGCCCUGGGUUCGAUUCCUCAGCACCA